rnacentral:rRNA from 1 species
UACGUAGGGUGCAAGCGUUGUCCGGAAUUAUUGGGCGUAAAGAGCUCGUAGGCGGUCUGUCGCGUCGGCUGUGAAAUCCCGAGGCUCAACCUCGGGUCUGCAGUCGAUACGGGCAAACUAGAGUAUUGCAGGGGAGACUGGAAUUCCUGGUGUAGCGGUGAAAUGCGCAGAUAUCAGGAGGAACACCGGUGGCGAAGGCGGGUCUCUGGGCAACUACUGACGCUGAGGAGCGAAAGCGUGGGGAGCAAACAGG